GUGCUCGCUUAGGCAGCUCAUAUUCUAAAAUUGGAACAAUACAGAGAAGAUUAACAUGGCCCCUGCGCAAAGAAAGGACUCAAGUAUAGAAUCUCUGGGGAAUCUA